rnacentral:rRNA from 1 species
GAGUUUGAUCAUGGCUCAGGACGAACGCUGGCGGCGUGCUUAACACAUGCAAGUCGAACGGUGAAGCCCAGCUUGCUGGGUGGAUCAGUGGCGAACGGGUGAGUAACACGUGAGUAACCUGCCCCUGACUUUGGGAUAACUCCGGGAAACCGGGGCUAAUACCGGAUAUGAGCCCUUGCUGCAUGGUGGGGGUUGGAAAGAUUUAUCGGUUGGGGAUGGGCUCGCGGCCUAUCAGCUCGUUGGUGGGGUGAUGGCCUACCAAGGCGACGACGGGUAGCCGGCCUGAGAGGGCGACCGGCCACACUGGGACUGAGACACGGCCCAGACUCCUACGGGAGGCAGCAGUGGGGAAUAUUGCACAAUGGGCGCAAGCCUGAUGCAGCGACGCCGCGUGAGGGAUGACGGCCUCGG